AUACUUACCUGGCAGGGGAGAUACCACGAUCUCAAAGGUGGUUUUCCCAGGGCAAGGCUUAUCCAUUGCACUCUGGAUGUUGCUAACCUCUGUGAUUCCCUCAAUCAUGGGAAAUUCGACUGCAUAAUUUGUGGUAGGGGGGGACUGCAGUGGCACUUUCUCCUG
ensembl:snRNA U1 U1 spliceosomal RNA